GAAUUUGAUAUCUCUUGGCUCGUGAUGUGCAAGUGCAGGAUGCGAAGUGACAGUCAACGGAUGAGGUGAAGGUCAAGCGAAAGAUUCGUGCCGAUAGACUAAGGGCGGUGAAGGACGAACGCGAGUAGGCUUGGACUGAGAGACCCGAUAAGUCCGAGCGGAGUGGCGAUCCACGUGGUGCAUUAAAGAGCAAAAGUACAUGGACGGAUGAAGACGGCGUCGGUCGAGUCAAGCGGGACGGAGGCGUCAGAUGCUUGGCAGAGACUGGACACGUGUCGACAUCGAGGAGAUCGCGUGGCGGCCAAGCGGAGAUGGACGGUUUCAGUGGUUUGAGCCUCAAAAUCACCGUGCAGGCAGGUUUCCCGGUUUAGCCCUCAAAACCGGGGGCGCGUCCAGUGUGCCCGGAUCGCUGAGGUGGAGAGCACAUGGCGCCAUCGCGAAACUUGCGUUGAGACGAAGCGAAGUCGUGAAGGCGGCGUGUCUAUCCGAUGCUUCUACAAAAAUCUGAACCACUUUGGCCAUGCGUGGAUAGUUAUCGUAGUUAAUAGCCUAGGGGCAUUUUAGUCAUUCCCCGAGAACUUUAUAUAAAUAGGCACGGCAAGUUAGAGAGGCUAUCUCUCUUACCCUCAUUUCACUUGCUCUCUAAUUUUUCCUCAUUUUCGGAUUAGAGUUUGUAUGGAAACUUUUUUGGAAUGGAGGCUCUAACCUCCUUUUGUCCUCCAGGCUUCAAGAUUUGAGCGAUUUUAUUGUUUCUCCUCUUGAUUCCUGUGUUUUUCUUUUUCUGUGAUUUUCGGGGUACUUUUCGUACGAUUUUCGAUUCGCGAGUUUUACUCGAUCUUUUUACAAACUUCUUUUUGGAUCUGUUAAUCCAUGAAGUUGUGCAUCUAUCGCUCGAGUUUCAUCUCGAUUCCUUGAGUCUUGAGUGAGCAAUUUGAAUUUGAAUUUUGGAUCUCGUUCUUGUUCCUUCCCCUUUCUUUUCUUCUCUGUUCUCUCUCCGUUUGUCCUCGUUCUGUAGCAAUUUCUUGCGGCGCUCAAGCGGGGGAAGAGCACUCGCGGCGCGGUGCAGGUGCGCACGACCCGAGGCAGGGCAGCCGGCCCCGGCCGGCGCAGCGGCCACCGGCGGCGCUGCCAGCAGCACGCGGCAUCGGCGCUCGCGUGCGCUUGCAGGGUGUGUGGCCAGCAGACCGGCGAGCCGCGCAGGCCAGGCGAGCGGGCCAGCAGCGAGCCCAGCAGGCAGCCCGUGUGCGCGCAGCCGGCUCAGCUCGCGGUGUCCAGCAGCUAGGCCAGCAAGCUUGCAGCAGGCCGAGCCACAGCCCACGCGGGGUGCACUGCGCCCAGGAGCAGCCAACCAGUGGCGGGCCAGUCAAUCAGGCAGCAGCUGGGCUCGUGGCCCAAGAGCAUCUAGCUGAUCGGCAUAGAAGCAAGCCAACGGGAGCAGAUGAACAGCUGUUCUGAUGGGUUAGAGGACUAUCUUGGAAUAUCUUAACGUACCAAGGGUACGAGACAUAAAUAGGAACACAUUUUAUACGAGAGCCCAAGAUAAAAAGAGCACCAACCAAAAUAGUGGUGUCCAUAUGGAUGUCACGUUAAGGACAUGUCCAGCAAGCCAAAGAAGGAGAUGAACAAGCAAACAGAUGAGCCAAAGCGACACAUAUUUCUUUCAGAGAAAAGAAACAUUGUUGGAGUCGAGAACAAGACAGACUUAUCAAAGGAUUAUAAUAACUUUGUUGAUAUUCCUCCUUUCACAGUUAAUACUGAUUCAUGCAUCCUGCUAGCCAACGAGUAUGCUCCAUACUUGCGCCGUGAUCAUAAUCAAGGGACAUUUGUGAAGAGAAAGUCUGUUACUGUACCAGAAGCUGUUGAUCUUUGAUGUAUUAGAAUCAUUAUGUAUUAUUUCAUAUAUGUGAUGGGCAAUUUGACUAUAUAUGUACUUCAUCAUUGGACCUUGUGUUUUAUAUAACUUUUACCUAAUUUUUAGAUAA